rnacentral:rRNA from 1 species
UAUUUGGUCGUAGACCCGAAACCAGGUGAUCUACCCUUGGUCAGGUUGAAGUUCAGGUAACACUGAAUGGAGGACCGAACCGACUUACGUUGAAAAGUGAGCGGAUGAACUGAGGGUAGCGGAGAAAUUCCAAUCGAACCUGGAGAUAGCUGGUUCUCUCCGAAAUAGCUUUAGGGCUAGCCUCAAGUGAUGAUUAUUGGAGGUAGAGCACUGUUUGGACGAGGGGCCCCUCUCGGGUUACCGAAUUCAGACAAACUCCGAAUGCCAAUUAAUUUAACUUGGGAGUCAGAACAUGGGUGAUAAGGUCCGUGUUCGAAAGGGAAACAGCCCAGACCACCAGCUAAGGUCCCAAAAUAUAUGUUAAGUGGAAAAGGAUGUGGCGUUGCCCAGACAACUAGGAUGUUGGCUUAGAAGCAGCCAUCAUUUAAAGAGUGCGUAAUAGCUCACUAGUCGAGUGACACUGCGCCGAAAAUGUACCGGGGCUAAACAUAUUACCGAAGCUGUGGAUUGUCCUUUGGACAAUGGUAGGAGAGCGUUCUAAGGGCGUUGAAGCAUGAUCGUAAGGACAUGUGGAGCGCUUAGAAGUGAGAAUGCCGGUGUGAGUAGCGAAAGACGGGUGAGAAUCCCGUCCACCGAUUGACUAAGGUUUCCAGAGGAAGGCUCGUCCGCUCUGGGUUAGUCGGGUCCUAAGCUGAGGCCGACAGGCGUAGGCGAUGGAUAACAGGUUGAUAUUCCUGUACCACCUAUAAUCGUUUUAAUCGAUGGGGGGACGCAGUAGGAUAGGCGAAGCGUGCGAUUGGAUUGCACGUCUAAGCAGUAAGGCUGAGUAUUAGGCAAAUCCGGUACUCGUUAAGGCUGAGCUGUGAUGGGGAGAAGACAUUGUGUCUUCGAGUCGUUGAUUUCACACUGCCGAGAAAAGCCUCUAGAUAGAAAAUAGGUGCCCGUACCGCAAACCGACACAGGUAGUCAAGAUGAGAAUUCUAAGGUGAGCGAGCGAACUCUCGUUAAGGAACUCGGCAAAAUGACCCCGUAACUUCGGGAGAAGGGGUGCUCUUUAGGGUUAACGCCCAGAAGAGCCGCAGUGAAUAGGCCCAAGCGACUGUUUAUCAAAAACACAGGUCUCUGCUAAACCGUAAGGUGAUGUAUAGGGGCUGACGCCUGCCCGGUGCUGGAAGGUUAAGAGGAGUGGUUAGCUUCUGCGAAGCUACGAAUCGAAGCCCCAGUAAACGGCGGCCGUAACUAUAACGGUCCUAAGGUAGCGAAAUUCCUUGUCGGGUAAGUUCCGACCCGCACGAAAGGCGUAACGAUUUGGGCACUGUCUCAACGAGAGACUCGGUGAAAUCAUAGUACCUGUGAAGAUGCAGGUUACCCGCGACAGGACGGAAAGACCCCGUGGAGCUUUACUGUAGCCUGAUAUUGAAAUUCGGCACAGCUUGUACAGGAUAGGUAGGAGCCUUUGAAACGUGAGCGCUAGCUUACGUGGAGGCGCUGGUGGGAUACUACCCUAGCUGUGUUGGCUUUCUAACCCGCACCACUUAUCGUGGUGGGAGACAGUGUCAGGCGGGCAGUUUGACUGGGGCGGUCGCCUCCUAAAAGGUAACGGAGGCGCUCAAAGGUUCCCUCAGAAUGGUUGGAAAUCAUUCAUAGAGUGUAAAGGCAUAAGGGAGCUUGACUGCGAGACCUACAAGUCGAGCAGGGUCGAAAGACGGACUUAGUGAUCCGGUGGUUCCGCAUGGAAGGGCCAUCGCUCAACGGAUAAAAGCUACCCCGGGGAUAACAGGCUUAUCUCCCCCAAGAGUUCACAUCGACGGGGAGGUUUGGCACCUCGAUGUCGGCUCAUCGCAUCCUGGGGCUGUAGUCGGUCCCAAGGGUUGGGCUGUUCGCCCAUUAAAGCGGUACGCGAGCUGGGUUCAGAACGUCGUGAGACAGUUCGGUCCCUAUCCGUCGUGGGCGUAGGAAAUUUGAGAGGAGCUGUCCUUAGUACGAGAGGACCGGGAUGGACAUACCUCUGGUGUACCAGUUGUCGUGCCAACGGCAUAGCUGGGUAGCUAUGUGUGGACGGGAUAAGUGCUGAAAGCAUCUAAGCAUGAAGCCCCCCUCAAGAUGAGAUUUCCCAACUUCGGUUAUAAGAUCCCUCAAAGAUGAUGAGGUUAAUAGGUUCGAGGUGGAAGCAUGGUGACAUGUGGAGCUGACGAAUACUAAUCGAUCGAAGACUUAAUCAA